rnacentral:rRNA from 1 species
UACGUAGGUGGCAAGCGUUGUCCGGAUUUACUGGGCGUAAAGAGCGCGCAGGCGGUCGUUCAAGUCGCGUGUGAAAGCCCCCGGCUCAACUGGGGAGGGUCACGCGAUACUGAUCGACUCGAAGGCAGGAGAGGGUAGUGGAAUUCCCGGUGUAGUGGUGAAAUGCGUAGAUAUCGGAAGGAACACCGGUGGCGAAGGCGG